rnacentral:rRNA from 1 species
UGGGGAAUUUUGGACAAUGGGGGAAACCCUGAUCCAGCCAUCCCGCGUGUGCGAUGAAGGCCUUCGGGUUGUAAAGCACUUUUGGCAGGAAAGAAACGUCGCGGGUUAAUACCCCGCGAAACUGACGGUACCUGCAGAAUAAGCACCGGCUAACUACGUGCCAGCAGCCGCGGUAAUACGUAGGGUGCAAGCGUUAAUCGGAAUUACUGGGCGUAAAGCGUGCGCAGGCGGUUCGGAAAGAAAGAUGUGAAAUCCCAGAGCUUAACUUUGGAACUGCAUUUUUAACUGCCGGGCUAGAGUGUGUCAGAGGGAGGUGGAAUUCCGCGUGUAGCAGUGAAAUGCGUAGAUAUGCGGAGGAACACCGAUGGCGAAGGCAGCCUCCUGGGACAACACUGACGCUCAUGCACGAAAGCGUGGGGAGCAAACAGGAUUAGAUACCCUGGUAGUCCACGCCCUAAACGAUGUCAACUAGCUGUUGGGGCCUUCGGGCCUUGGUAGCGCAGCUAACGCGUGAAGUUGACCGCCUGGGGAGUACGGUCGCAAGAUUAAAACUCAAAUGAAUUGACGGGGUCG